rnacentral:rRNA from 1 species
GACGAACGCUGGCGGCGUGCCUAAUACAUGCAAGUCGAACGCAGUGGGGACGGGUGAGUAACACGUGGAUAACCUCCCAUCAGAGGGGAUAACACUUGGAAACAUGUGCUAAACCUAUACUGAUGGAUGGCCCCGCGGUGCAUUAGCUAGUUGGUGAGGUAACGGCUCACCAAGGCCACGAUGCAUAGGCGACCUGAGAGGGUGAUAGGCAACACUGGGACUGAGACACGGCCCAGACUCCUACGGGAGGCAGCAGUGGUGAAUCUUCUGCAAUGGACGAAAGGCUGACCGAGCAACGCCGCGUGAGUGAAGAAGGUUGUCGGAUCGUAAAACUAUGUUGUUAGAGAAGCGGUAUCUAACCAGAAAGCCACGGCUAACUACGUGCCAGCAGCCGCGGUAAUAC